UAUCAUAUCUUGUUGUUCUCUGUUCAUGUUCUCGUUCACACAACUUCACUAUAACGAUUCUCUUUAAUCAGUUUUUUAGCUGAUUGCAUAGUUGUUCGAAUAAAUUCUCCCUUUACAGGUUACGGUUUUGUUGUCUAUUAUUUUGUCCACAAAUGCUCUUUCUUAUUUGAUUGGAUUGGAUUUAAAUUGUAAAGAUGGAUUUAUAGAGUUGAUUUAGAUAUAUAUGCUUGAUGCUUCUCUUGAAUUUGUGAAUGCAUAGUUGUUGUUAGUUAUGAACUUGAAUAUGAUUCUAAUUUGUAUUUUUCUAAAGGAACAGUCUAUGUAACCCUUUUUUCCCGUUUCUCUUAUCUCUCUUAUGCUAUGAUAUAAUUCCUUAUUAGAAUUUAAUCAUUGCAGUAGUGAUUAUGUUGAAUUUGGACAAGGAAGGACAACUCAGUUAACUAAACAAAUUUAUUCAUUGAAUUUUUACCCCAGUUUUUACAAAUUUAUAGAUUUGAAGCAGGGGGUUGGUUUAGAGAAUUUAAGAAAGUUAUUAUGUUAGAAUUGCUCAUGUUUACCCGCUCAUGUAUGGAAGCCUGAACAUCUCAUCUGCCCUCUGUCGUCCAGAACCAUGUUUGCCUUUGAUAAAGUGAUUUCAAGUUGUUGUAUCCGCAAUUUGUCGACCUACCUAAAAGGAACUCCCACCGUUUUGCUUUUGCAAACACAUGAAUUUUGGGUAAGUGUUAUGCAACAACCCUUCAUAGAAGGUGGGUACUUCAUUUCAAUUAAGUUGUUGAGUCCGGAAUUUUUAAGUCGUAAGGGCUGGAGUACCCCUUUGAUGAGAUGAUGGUUUGAGGAUGACAUGGAAUGUGGAGAAGGAGAGAGGGGGAACAAGUCCACUCGUGAUUAAAGUGUUCAAAGGAGACAUCAGAAGGAUGAUCGUCAUGUAUUAAAUGGAUAGAUGACAUAAAUCUACCAAUAACACAAGUGGCACUUCGAAUGGAUGAAUAAUGAUGAUAUUGAGGAAGAUUUUCAAGAUUUGGAAGCACAAGAUUUCCAUAUAGAUGUCCAUGGUCAUUUAAUUAUGAUGAUAUUGACGAAGAAUUUCAAGACUUGGAAGGACAAGAUUUCCAUAUAGAUGUUCAUGGUCAUUUUGAUUGUGAUCAAUUAUAGUUGACAUUAUUUAGGGCAUACAUUAAAGAUCCAAAUUAUUUAUCAUGUAAUUUUGAAAAUGUUAUUUCGAUUGAGUUUAAUGAUGAUUGACAAGUAUUUGAUUUUAUGUAAUUUAGAUUCAUAUUACAAUUUUAUAUCAAUAAAAUUUUACUAUA